GUUUGUUAAGCGAACGACGUAUUGACAAUAUUGUUUGGUUUACGACCAGCAGCUGUUAUGAUUAUAGGGAUAUUUGGUUAAUGUGGAUUAAUACCACAGCUCUGCGAUGUAUGUAGAAAUCGUUCCUCUGGAAGGAGGUGGAUGCCAGGAACUCCCAUAUGACCUUCCCAAGGCCCGUAUGGCGUAUGCCACCAAUACUUCAGUUGUAUAUCGUUGUUCAGGUGAUUAUGAACUAAAUGCGGGUGAUUUGGUGCGGACCUGUGUUAAUGGAACAUGGACGGGUUUUCCGCCUUCAUGUACUGCAGAAGAAUUUUUGAACAUGAAAGAGAAGAGGAGAGUCUUAGUGUGUAUUAUUGGUUGGUUAUCUCGUCUUAUAAGGAUUGUUAUUUCUCUUACUUAACUGUCAAACCUGAUUAAAACAUUGGUUAAGGUAA